rnacentral:sRNA from 1 species
GCUGGGCAUGGUGGAGCACGCCUGAAAUCCCAGAGGCUUGGGAGGCUGAGGCAGGAGGAUCGCGAGUUCAGAGCCAGCCUCAGCCACAGCAAGGUGCCAAGUGACUUGGUGAGACCCUGUGUCUA